AUGAACGCUAGCUACAGGCUUAACACAUGCGAGUCGAGGGGAAACGGCGCGGCAGCUUGCUGCCGCGGCCGCCGACCGGCGAAUGGGUGAGUAACACGUAUCCAACCUGCCCCCAGGCAAGGGAUAAUCCAUAGAAAUGUGGCCUAAUACCUUAUGUGGUCAGACGAUGGCAUCAGACUUUGACUAAAGACUUGUCGCCUGGGGAUGGGGAUGCGCCUGAUUAGCUUGUUGGCGGGGCAACGGCCCACCAAGGCAACGAUCAGUAGGGGUUCUGAGAGGAAAGUCCCCCACAUUGGAACUGAGACACGGUCCAAACUCCUACGGGAGGCAGCAGUGAGGAAUAUUGGUCAAUGGCCGUAAGGCUGAACCAGCCAAGUAGCGUGCAGGAGGACGGCCCUAUGGGUUGUAAACUGCUUUUGUACGGGGACAAAGUGCGCGACGUGUCGCCCAUUGCGGGUACCGUACGAAUAACGACCGGCUAAUUCCGUGCCCGCAGCCGCGGAAAUACGGAAGGUCCGGGCGUUAUCCGGAUUUAUUGGGUUUAAAGGGAGCGCAGGCCGCCUGUCAAGCGUGUUGUGAAAUGUAGGGGCCCAACCCCUGAGUUGCAGCGCGAACUGGCGGGCUUGAGUACGCACAACGCUGGUGGAACUCGCCGUGUAGCGGUGAAAUGCUUAGAUAUCAGGAAGAACUCCGGAUUGCGAAGGCAGCCCGCGGCAGUGUUACUGACGUUCAUGCUGGAAGGUGCGGGGUAUCGAACAGGAUUAGAUACCCUGGGUAGUCCGCACGGUAAACGAUGGAUGCUCGCUGUCGGCGAUACAUUGUCGGCGGCCUAGUGAAAGCAUUAAGCAUCCCACCUGGGGAGUACGCCGGCAACGGUGAAACUCAAAGGAAUUGACGGGGGCCCGCACAAGCGGAGGAACAUGUGGUUUAAUUCGAUGAUACGCGAGGAACCUUACCCGGGCUUGAAUUGCAGGUUUUGGAUCAGAGAUGGUCUUUUCCCUUCGGGGUGCCUGUGAAGGUGCUGCAUGGUUGUCGUCAGCUCGUGCCGUGAGGUGUCGGCUUAAGUGCCAUAACGAGCGCAACCCCUUUCGUCAGUUGCCAUCAGGUGAUGCUGGGCACUCUGGCGACACUGCCACCGCAAGGUGUGAGGAAGGUGGGGAUGACGUCAAAUCAGCACGGCCCUUACGUCCGGGGCUACACAUGUGUUACAAUGGGGCAUACAGAGCGUCGGCUAGUCGCAAGACUGGUCUAAUCGUGAAACUGUCCCUCAGUUCGGAUUGGGGUCUGCAACCCGACCCCAUGAAGCUGGAUUCGCUAGUAAUCGCGCAUCAGCCAUGGCGCGGUGAAUACGUUCCCGGGCCUUGCACUCACCGCCCGUCA
rnacentral:rRNA from 1 species